rnacentral:rRNA from 1 species
CAGUCAGAGGCGAUGAAGGACGUGCUAAUCUGCGAUAAGCGUCGGUGAGGUGAUAUGAACCGUUAUAACCGGCGAUUUCCGAAUGGGGAAACCCAGUGUGUUUCGACACACUAUCAUUAACUGAAUCCAUAGGUUAAUGAGGCGAACCGGGGGAACUGAAACAUCUAAGUACCCCGAGGAAAAGAAAUCAACCGAGAUUCCCCCAGUAGCGGCGAGCGAACGGGGAGGAGCCCAGAGCCUGAAUCAGUGUGUGUGUUAGUGGAAGCGUCUGGAAAGGCGCGCGAUACAGGGUGACAGCCCCGUACACAAAAAUGCACAUGCUGUGAGCUCGAUGAGUAGGGCGGGACACGUGGUAUCCUGUCUGAAUAUGGGGGGACCAUCCUCCAAGGCUAAAUACUCCUGACUGACCGAUAGUGAACCAGUACCGUGAGGGAAAGGCGAAAAGAACCCCGGCGAGGGGAGUGAAAAAGAACCUGAAACCGUGUACGUACAAGCAGUGGGAGCCUCUUAAUGGGGUGACUGCGUACCUUUUGUAUAAUGGGUCAGCGACUUAUAUUCUGUAGCAAGGUUAACCGAAUAGGGGAGCCGAAGGGAAACCGAGUCUUAACUGGGCGUUAAGUUGCAGGGUAUAGACCCGAAACCCGGUGAUCUAGCCAUGGGCAGGUUGAAGGUUGGGUAACACUAACUGGAGGACCGAACCGACUAAUGUUGAAAAAUUAGCGGAUGACUUGUGGCUGGGGGUGAAAGGCCAAUCAAACCGGGAGAUAGCUGGUUCUCCCCGAAAGCUAUUUAGGUAGCGCCUCGUGAAUUCAUCUCCGGGGGUAGAGCACUGUUUCGGCAAGGGGGUCAUCCCGACUUACCAACCCGAUGCAAACUGCGAAUACCGGAGAAUGUUAUCACGGGAGACACACGGCGGGUGCUAACGUCCGUCGUGAAGAGGGAAACAACCCAGACCGCCAGCUAAGGUCCCAAAGUCAUGGUUAAGUGGGAAACGAUGUGGGAAGGCCCAGACAGCCAGGAUGUUGGCUUAGAAGCAGCCAUCAUUUAAAGAAAGCGUAAUAGCUCACUGGUCGAGUCGGCCUGCGCGGAAGAUGUAACGGGGCUAAACCAUGCACCGAAGCUGCGGCAGCGACGCUUAUGCGUUGUUGGGUAGGGGAGCGUUCUGUAAGCCUGUGAAGGUGGCCUGUGAGGGUUGCUGGAGGUAUCAGAAGUGCGAAUGCUGACAUAAGUAACGAUAAAGCGGGUGAAAAGCCCGCUCGCCGGAAGACCAAGGGUUCCUGUCCAACGUUAAUCGGGGCAGGGUGAGUCGACCCCUAAGGCGAGGCCGAAAGGCGUAGUCGAUGGGAAACAGGUUAAUAUUCCUGUACUUGGUGUUACUGCGAAGGGGGGACGGAGAAGGCUAUGUUGGCCGGGCGACGGUUGUCCCGGUUUAAGCGUGUAGGCUGGUUUUCCAGGCAAAUCCGGAAAAUCAAGGCUGAGGCGUGAUGACGAGGCACUACGGUGCUGAAGCGACAAAUGCCCUGCUUCCAGGAAAAGCCUCUAAGCAUCAGGUAACAUCAAAUCGUACCCCAAACCGACACAGGUGGUCAGGUAGAGAAUACCAAGGCGCUUGAGAGAACUCGGGUGAAGGAACUAGGCAAAAUGGUGCCGUAACUUCGGGAGAAGGCACGCUGAUAUGUAGGUGAAGCGACUUGCUCGUGGAGCUGAAAUCAGUCGAAGAUACCAGCUGGCUGCAACUGUUUAUUAAAAACACAGCACUGUGCAAACACGAAAGUGGACGUAUACGGUGUGACGCCUGCCCGGUGCCGGAAGGUUAAUUGAUGGGGUUAGCGGCAACGCGAAGCUCUUGAUCGAAGCCCCGGUAAACGGCGGCCGUAACUAUAACGGUCCUAAGGUAGCGAAAUUCCUUGUCGGGUAAGUUCCGACCUGCACGAAUGGCGUAAUGAUGGCCAGGCUGUCUCCACCCGAGACUCAGUGAAAUUGAACUCGCUGUGAAGAUGCAGUGUACCCGCGGCAAGACGGAAAGACCCCGUGAACCUUUACUAUAGCUUGACACUGAACAUUGAGCCUUGAUGUGUAGGAUAGGUGGGAGGCUUUGAAGUGUGGACGCCAGUCUGCAUGGAGCCGACCUUGAAAUACCACCCUUUAAUGUUUGAUGUUCUAACGUUGGCCCGUAAUCCGGGUUGCGGACAGUGUCUGGUGGGUAGUUUGACUGGGGCGGUCUCCUCCUAAAGAGUAACGGAGGAGCACGAAGGUUGGCUAAUCCUGGUCGGACAUCAGGAGGUUAGUGCAAUGGCAUAAGCCAGCUUGACUGCGAGCGUGACGGCGCGAGCAGGUGCGAAAGCAGGUCAUAGUGAUCCGGUGGUUCUGAAUGGAAGGGCCAUCGCUCAACGGAUAAAAGGUACUCCGGGGAUAACAGGCUGAUACCGCCCAAGAGUUCAUAUCGACGGCGGUGUUUGGCACCUCGAUGUCGGCUCAUCACAUCCUGGGGCUGAAGUAGGUCCCAAGGGUAUGGCUGUUCGCCAUUUAAAGUGGUACGCGAGCUGGGUUUAGAACGUCGUGAGACAGUUCGGUCCCUAUCUGCCGUGGGCGCUGGAGAACUGAGGGGGGCUGCUCCUAGUACGAGAGGACCGGAGUGGACGCAUCACUGGUGUUCGGGUUGUCAUGCCAAUGGCACUGCCCGGUAGCUAAAUGCGGAAGAGAUAAGUGCUGAAAGCAUCUAAGCACGAAACUUGCCCCGAGAUGAGUUCUCCCUGAGACUUAGAGUCUCCUGAAGGAACGUUGAAGACGACGACGUUGAUAGGCCGGGUGUGUAAGCGCAGCGAUGCGUUGAGCUAACCGGUACUAAUGAACCGUGAGGCUUAACCUU